GCUGGCGGGAUGCUUUACACAUGCAAGUCGAACGGCAGCAUAGAAGCUUGCUCUCUGAUGGCGAGUGGCGAACGGGUGAGUAAUAUAUCGGAACGUGCCCAGUAAUGGGGAAUAACUAACUGAAAGGUUAGCUAAUACCGCAUACGACCUACGGGUGAAAGCAGGGGAUCUUAGGACCUUGCGUUAUUGGAGCGGCCGAUAUCUGAUUAGCUUGUUGGUGGGGUAAAAGCCUACCAAGGCAACGAUCAGUAGCUGGUCUGAGAGGACGAUCAGCCACACUGGAACUGAGACACGGUCCAGACUCCUACGGGAGGCAGCAGUGGGGAAUUUUGGACAAUGGGGGAAACCCUGAUCCAGCCAUCCCGCGUGAGUGAAGAAGGCCUUCGGGUUGUAAAGCUCUUUCGAAAGUGAAGAAAACUUAUUUCGUAAUAUGUUAUAAGUAUGACGG
rnacentral:rRNA from 1 species